rnacentral:rRNA from 1 species
CCUACGGGUGGCUGCAGUGGGGAAUAUUGCACAAUGGGGGAAACCCUGAUGCAGCGACGCCGCGUGAAGGAAGAAGUAUUUCGGUAUGUAAACUUCUAUCAGCAGGGAAGAAAAUGACGGUACCUGACUAAGAAGCCCCGGCUAACUACGUGCCAGCAGCCGCGGGAAUACGUAGGGGGCAAGCGUUAUCCGGAUUUACUGGGUGUAAAGGGAGCGUAGGCGGUUUAGCAAGUCAGAAGUGAAAGCCCGGGGAUCAACUCCGGGACUGCUUUUGAAACUGUUGAACUUGAGUGCAGGAGAGGUAAGUGGAAUUCGUAGUGUAGCGGUGAAAUGCGUAGAUAUUAGGAGGAACACCAGUGGCGAAGGCGGCUUACUGGCCUGUAAAUGACGCUGAGGCUCGAAAGCGUGGGGAGCAAACAGGAUUAGAUACCCCUGUAGUC